GACGAACGCUGGCGGCGUGCUUAACACAUGCAAGUCGAACGGAAAGGCUCCAGCUUGCUGGAGUACUCGAGUGGCGAACGGGUGAGUAACACGUGGGUAAUCUGCCCUGCACUCUGGGAUAAGCCUGGGAAACUGGGUCUAAUACUGGAUAUGACCUUUCUCCUUAUGGGGUUUGGUGGAAAGUUUUUCGGUGUAGGAUGAGCCCGCGGCCUAUCAGCUUGUUGGUGGGGUGAUGGCCUACCAAGGCGACGACGGGUAGCCGGCCUGAGAGGGUGAUCGGCAACAUUGGGCCGAAGUUCCGGCCAGGCUCCUACGGGGAGGCAGCGGGGGGAAAAAUGGCACAUGGGGCGAAGCCCGAUGCCGCGACGGCGGCGGGGGGAUGACGGCCUUUGGGGUGGAAACCCCCUUUCGCCAAGAACAAGGCUUAGUGACGGUAACUGGAAGAGGAGGCCCGGCUAACUACGUG
rnacentral:rRNA from 1 species